ensembl:lincRNA
AUGAUGGAAACAGAAGCAAAUGCUCCCCAGAAGAUGGUUCCUUGCUCAGCAGUCAGAAUAAAAAGAGAUCCUGAAGGAUGCUCUUAUCUUAGUGGCUGUGUUUUCUCUCUGGAAAUGCAACCUCCAUCUGGGGCCAGUACCAAAGUCUUUAAAAUCCUUGGAACACUGGUGAGAACUAAUGUUUUUGUUGGGACCUUCACAUUAGUGUGCAAGUUACAUGUGCACAGUGCCAGCUGCUGCCCAGGGGCUCCACAUCUGAGGAGAGUGGGGAGAGCGAACCAUUCUAGCCAUGGUCUGGAAUAACUUAAAACUGCAGCGAAAAAGUCUUCAGCUCAACAGUCUGAAAGUGGAUGAAUCAGAAUGAGGUUUGCAGCAAGCCCAAGAAUGCCCUUGACAUUCAAACCAUGCACUCUAGCCUCCCUGACUGCGACGUGUAAUUCUACUCUUUCUACCCCCUCUGUGGACCGUCUAUGCAAAGUCAGAAUUCAGCUUGUACGCCUCAAAACCCUGUGAGGAUUCUAUUUCUUAAAGAUCAGCCUAAGACCGAGUUGCAGAGGAUUGAUUUCCACCCUCUCCCUAACAGAAGCCACCAAAUUUUAAAAUAUACAGAAAAAAGGAGACCGUGUGACUUGAACAGUUUACUUUAAUCAGAUUAAUGCCAGGAUGACUUAGCAUUUACCCAGUAACUGGUUCCCAAACUGAAGCUUUUUUUUUUUUUUGUAAUGAAUCUAUGGAUCAGUUUACUGGCAUGCUCACUAGGUACUCUUUUGCAUUUGUAAAAGAUUAACUUUUCAUAGGGCAGUUGAGCAAAUUUACAUAGGAGGUGACUCUUGGGAAAGUCAAUCAGAGUGUGACUGUAAAGGUCAUUACCUGACUUAGAAAAAUAACAAAAGGUGAAUCAGCAAGGUCAUCUUUCAUGUGGGAAAUAUGGUUGGCUGUUAUUGUCAAAGUGUAAUAUUUAGAAAGUGAAAAACAUGGCCCUCAAUACAAAUAUUUAAGUCAGCAUGUGCCAAAUGUUUAUUUACCUUAUUGGUUGGGGAGCCAUCAAGAUGGUAAAACUAGUUCAUAAGAGAAUUCAAGAAGCUAAGUAUAUGAAGUUUAGGAAAGAAAGAAUCUAGGAAUAUGAUUGCUAGACUUUUUUUUUUUUAAUGGGAAUGUAAAAUGAUGCAACCACUUCGGAAGACAGUUUAGCAGUUUCUCAUAAAGCUAAAUAUACCCUCACCAUAUGUCGACUGAAAAAAAUGCACAACCUAAAAGCUGAGAGUUAUGUUUUAUUUGGCGAACAUACUGAAAACCUAAAACUUAGGAAACAGCCCCUCAGAGAGCUCUGGAGGACUGUUUCAAAGAGGUAAGGAAGGAACCAGAAUAUAGGUAUCUUUGAAAAGACAAACACAGGUAGUCUAACAUCAAAAGUUUACUGAUAAUUAAAGAAAAAAACGGACAUCUCAAGAUAAUUUAGUUUCUUUAGAACUAAAAGAAUUUAGUUUUUUUCUGUGUAUGGGAAGAAUGCGAGAGUGGGCUUAAUGUAAGUAUUCCUUUGACAUGUGCCUUAACAAAAUACUUAUCAGGGCAAGCAUUUUGUUCUUCUUUUCCUGAAUGCCCUCAGGGUGCACUGUCAGGAGUGGCUGUAGUGGCAGAUAGCUUGAUAGGUGCCACAUCAUUUGUUUAAUGUUAUGGCAGAUACCAUUCUUUGUCCACGUAUAUGAUUUGGCAGUUGCAAAUGAGUUGAGAACUUAUGUCCACAUAAAAAUCUGCAUGCAAAUAUUUAGAGAAACUUUGUUCAUAAAUGCUAAAAACAGGAAGCAACCAAGAUAUCCCCCAAUAGGUAAAUGGACAAAUGAGUUGUGAUAUAUUCAUGCAAUAGGUAUUAUUUGGCAAUAAAAGAAAUGACCUCAAAUGACAUGGAAGAACCUUGAGAUCAUAGCACUAAGUGAAAUAAGCCAGGCUGAAAAUACUACACAAUGUAUGAUUCCAGCUACAUGACAUUUUGGAAAAGGUAAAACUGUAGAGACAGUAAAUAGAUCAGUGGUCGCCAGGGGUUUGGUGGGGGGAUGGUGGUGGUGGUCAGGGUUGAAUAGGUGAAGCAGGGGAGAUUUUUAGGGAAGCAAAACUUAUCUUUAUGAUACUGUAAUGAUGGGUAUAUAACAUCAUGCAUUUGUUAAAUCUCAUAGAACUGUACAACAUGAACAGUAAUAAUGUAAACUAUAGACUUUAGUUAAUAAUAUAUCAAUAUUGGUUUAUCAGUUAUAACAAAUAUUCCACACUAAUGCAAAAUGUUAUGAAUAGGAAAGACAGUGGAGGUGAGGUGAAGAAGAAAGGAUAGUAUGUUGAACUGUCUGUAUUAUCUGUUUAAUUUAUCCCUGAACCUGAAAUUUCUAAGAAAAAUAAUCUAUUUGUUCUUUAAAACUUGUUUAAUGCCCUUAGGGUAAUAAAACCAUAAUUUCUGAGAUUCCUUUUUCUAUCCAACAGAAGUUAUUUAUGAUUCUACUCUAGAAAAAUAAUUUGACACAAUCUUCUACAAGUUUAUGUCUAAUUUCACAAAGCAAUUAUUGCCCUUAGCAAUACUAAAUAAUAAGUUCAACAAAAGUGCAUUUCUUUGGAGUAUGUGGGUAGGCCUGUUAGACAAUGCCAGUGUGGACAAUGCCAGUGUAGACUGAAGGGACAGACAUACAGUCAUCCUUUUGCCUUAUUUUUAAAGUUUUGAAUAUUUUUUCUUAAUAUUAGAAUAUGUCUUAUUUGUUAGAG